rnacentral:lncRNA from 1 species
GCACUUCUGGACUCCCCGGGGGCGCAGGAGGGUAAUAGGAAACGGAGUCCCCGUAGGCCACGCUGAGGAGCUCCUUGCUGCGGAUUUGAGAGAGCGCAAUCAAGUAGUCUUCCAGGAAGGACCGCUCUCGGUAGUCCUUGCUCACUCGCAGGUCUUCGUAGAAGGCGUCCAAGUCGCGCGUCGUGGGGAGGGGCAGUGUGAAUGUGGCCGCUCUGGCCCGGACAGCAAC